rnacentral:rRNA from 1 species
UACGGAGGGAGCUAGCGUUGUCCGGAAUCAUUGGGCGUAAAGCGCGCGUAGGUGGCUUCGUAAGUCCGUUGUGAAAGUCAAAGGCUCAACCUUUGAAUGCCGAUGGAUACUGCGAAGCUAGAGUACGGAAGAGGCGAGUGGAAUUCCUGGUGUAGCGGUGGAAUGCGCAGAUAUCAGGAGGAACACCAAUAGCGAAGGCAGCUCGCUGGGACGUUACUGACACUAAGGCGCGAAAGCGUGGGGAGCGAACAGG